rnacentral:tRNA from 1 species
AGACUAGUAGUUUAAUAAAAACAUUCAAUUUGCAUUUAAAAAAUAAAUAAUAUUUCAGUCUU